AUUGAACGCUGGCGGCAGGCCUAACACAUGCAAGUCGAACGAGUGGCGGACGGGUGAGUAAUGUCUGGGAAACUGCCUGAUGGAGGGGGAUAACUACUGGAAACGGUAGCUAAUACCGCAUACCAUCGGAUGUGCCCAGAUGGGAUUAGCUAGUAGGUGGGGUAAAGGCUCACCGAGGCGACGACCCCUAUCUGUUCUGAGAGGAUGACCAGCCAACCUGGAACUGAGACACGGUCCAGACUCCUACGGGAGGCAGCAGUGGGGAAUAUUGGACAAUGGGCGAAAGCCUGAGCCAGCCAUGCCGCGUGUGUGAAGAAGGUCUUAGGAUUGUAAAGCACUUUAAGUUGGGAGGCGUUACCAACAGAAUAAGCACCGGCUAACUCCGUGCCAGCAGCCGCGGUAAUUC
rnacentral:rRNA from 1 species